rnacentral:rRNA from 1 species
AUUGAACGCUGGCGGCAUGCCUUACACAUGCAAGUCGAACGGCAGCGGACCUUCGGGUGCCGGCGAGUGGCGAACGGGUGAGUAAUAUAUCGGAACGUACCUUUCAGUGGGGGAUAACGUAGCGAAAGUUACGCUAAUACCGCAUAAGCCCUGAGGGGGAAAGUGGGGGACCGCAAGGCCUCACGCGAAUGGAGCGGCCGAUGUCAGAUUAGCUAGUUGGUGGGGUAAAGGCCCACCAAGGCGACGAUCUGUAGCGGGUCUGAGAGGAUGAUCCGCCACACUGGGACUGAGACACGGCCCAGACUCCUACGGGAGGCAGCAGUGGGGAAUUUUGGACAAUGGGCGCAAGCCUGAUCCAGCCAUGCCGCGUGCGGGACGAAGGCCUC